rnacentral:misc_RNA from 1 species
AAGUCGUAACAAGGUCUCCGUUGGUGAACCAGCGGAGGGAUCAUUACAGGAGCGUUCCGCUACGGAGCCCCCUACAACCCUCUGUGAACUGUCGCUAGUUGCAGUACUGCCUCCGGCGGGCGGCCUCUGGGAGAGGUCCUACGGCCUGGGUAACACCGGGUGCCUGCCGGAGGGAGCUAGACAGAACUCUUAUAACGCACCUUGCCGUCUGAGUCAACUGAAAAACAUAUUAAAACUUUCAACAACGGAUCUCUUGGUUCUG